AUGAGCCAAGAUGCCGAGGACAGAAUCAGUGCGCUCCCUAGGGACAUCCUUAUCCGAAUCCUUGAACUCCUUCCGGUGCGCAGUGCGAUUCGGACCGGAUCGCUCUCCAAACGGUGGAGACACCUCCCUCACCAGCUCUCUUGUCUGCUCAUAGGUGUAUCUGACAUUCAGAGCGCUAGCUACGUCACGCUGGGUCAGAUCAUGGGGGCGUACACGGAGACGACGAGGAGAUUGCUAUCGUCCACGUGCGAAUGCGGCGGCCGUUCCAUCAAGAGCCUGAGACUUACCUUUUACCUUUCAAAACUUUUCUUGUGCCCUAUUGGCCAUGCCGUCGGGGAUGUGGCCAGGAACGGCGACACUGAAUGCCUCGAGUUUGUGAUAUUCACGCAUCUUGCGAGACCAAGCAAUGCUCAACUUGUCUUGUUUGGACAGCGGUUCAUGUCCUUCUUCCACUCUUGCCCUGUCGCCUUCAGAUGGCUCACAAGACUAACUCUCCACAACCUUGCAUUUGGAGACUCGGAUGUCCCCAAUCUCCUCAAUGCUUGCGAUAAGCUUCAGUUCCUUAACUUGAGAUGCUGCAAAUUGGGUCCGAAAUCUGUCCUCAGCAUAGACGCCCUGUCAUCAGAGCUCCAGAAACUUGAAUUGUUUUGCUUUGAGUGUGUGCGGGUUGAUCUAGCAAGUCUUCCUAAGCUGAAGCAAGUGCUCUGUGAUACUUGGUGGGCUGUGACCACACCUAUGUCGAUCUUGUGGCUUUGUUCCCCAACUUGA
rnacentral:rRNA from 1 species